CCUACGGGUGGCAGCAGUGGGGAAUAUUGGACAAUGGGCGAAAGCCUGAUCCAGCCAUGCCGCGUGUGUGAAGAAGGCCUUCGGGUUGUAAAGCACUUUCAGUGGGGAAGAAAGCCUUGGGGCUAAUACCCUCGAGGAAGGACAUCACCCACAGAAGAAGCACCGGCUAACUCCGUGCCAGCAGCCGCGGUAAUACGGAGGGUGCGAGCGUUAAUCGGAAUUACUGGGCGUAAAGCGCGCGUAGGCGGUCUGAUAAGCCGGUUGUGAAAGCCCCGGGCUCAACCUGGGAACGGCAUCCGGAACUGUCAGGCUAGAGUGCAGGAGAGGAAGGUAGAAAUCCCGGUGUAGCGGUGAAAGGCGUAGAGAUCGGGAGGAAUACCAGUGGCGAAGGCGGCCUUCUGGACUGACACUGACGCUGAGGUGCGAAAGCGUGGGUAGCAAACAGGAUUAGAUACCCUAGUAGUC
rnacentral:rRNA from 1 species